rnacentral:misc_RNA from 1 species
GAUGAAGAACGCAGCGAAAUGCGAUAAGUAAUGUGAAUUGCAGAAUCCAGUGAAUCAUCGAAUCUUUGAACGCACAUUGCGCCCGCCAGCAUUCUGGCGGGCAUGCCUGUUCGAGCGUCAUUUCAACCCUCGACCUCCCUUUGGGGAAGUCGGCGUUGGGGACCGGCAGCACACCGCCGGCCCUGAAAUGGAGUGGCGGCCCGUCCGCGGCGACCUCUGCGUAGUAAACCAACUCGCACCGGAACCCCGACGUGGCCACGCCGUAAAACACCCAACUUCUGAACGUUGACCUCGAAUCAGGUAGGACUACCCGCUGAACUUAAGCAUAUCAAUAAGCGGAGGA